AGCAGCCGCGGUAAUUCCAGCUCCAAUAGCGUAUAUUAAAGUUGUUGCAGUUAAAAAGCUCGUAGUUGAAUUUCGGGGUCAGCAUGUUGGUCGUGCCACUGGUACGUACUGGCUUUGUUGAUUCCUCCCUCUUGACGAACCGUAAUGCCAUUAAUUUGGUGUUGCGGGAAAUCAGGACUGUUACUUUGAAAAAUUAGAGUGUUUAAAGCAGGCAUGCGCUUGAAUACAUUAGCAUGGAAUAAUGAAAUAGGACGUUCGAUCCUAUUUUGUUGGUUUCUAGGAUUGACGUAAUGAUUAAUAGGGAUAGUUGGGGGCAUUAGUAUUCAAUUGUCAGAGGUGAAAUUCUUGGAUUUAUUGAAGACUGACUACUGCGAAAGCAUUUGCCAAGGAUGUUUUCAUUAAUCAAGAACGAAAGUUAGGGGAUCGAAGACGAUCAGAUACCGUCGUAGUCUUAACCAUAAACUAUGCCGA
rnacentral:rRNA from 1 species